rnacentral:rRNA from 1 species
UACGUAGGGUGCAAGCGUUGUCCGGAAUUAUUGGGCGUAAAGAGCUCGUAGGCGGUUUGUCGCGUCUGCUGUGAAAACCCAGGGCUUAACCCUGGGCCUGCAGUGGGUACGGGCAAACUAGAGUGCGGUAGGGGAGAUCGGAAUUCCUGGUGUAGCGGUGAAAUGCGCAGAUAUCAGGAGGAACACCGGUGGCGAAGGCGGAUCUCUGGGCCGUAACUGACGCUGAGGAGCGAAAGCAUGGGUAGCGAACAGG